GGGCGGCAGGCAGCGUGCCGUGCUCCGCUGCGGAGCUCUGCCAAGGGCUGGCCCUGCGGAGACCCUGCUCGAGGGUCUGAGGCCCGCGUGGUUUUGAAAUUAACGCAGGGAAGGUAAAGAAGCGAGGAUGUGGUCUCUUUUACUUGUCCUUUAAUGAUACUACUGCUAUCAUUGUGACAAGAACUUCUGAGCAUGAAUAAACACAGAAGAAAACAGUUCUCAGCAAAAGAAAGCUCACAGGAAAAAAAAGCAA